UGGAGAAGAUGGGCUACCUACGGUAUCUAGGUACUGAAUGUGGAUAACACUGGAGAAGAUGGGCUACCUACGGUAUCUAGGUACUGAAUGUGGAUAACACUGGAGAAGAUGGGCUACCUACAGUAUCUAGGUACUGAAUGUGGAUAACACUGGAGAAGAUGGGCUACCUACAGUAUCUAGGUACUGAAUGUGGAUAACACUGGAGAAGAUGGGCUACCUACGGUAUCUAGGUACUGAAUGUGGAUAACAACUGGAGAAGAUGGGCUACCUACGGUAUCUAGGUACUGAAUGUGGAUAACACUGGAGAAGAUGGGCUACCUACGGUAUCUAGGUACUGAAUGUGGAUAACACUGGAGAAGAUGGGCUACCUACGGUAUCUAGGUACUGAAUGUGGAUAACACUGGAGAAGAUGGGCUACCUACGGUAUCUAGGUACUGAAUGUGGAUAACAACUGGAGAAGAUGGGCUACCUACGGUAUCUAGGUACUGAAUGUGGAUAACACUGGAGAAGAUGGGCUACCUACGGUAUCUAGGUACUGAAUGUGGAUAACACUGGAGAAGAUGGGCUACCUACGGUAUCUAGGUACUGAAUGUGGAUAACACUGGAGAAGAUGGGCUACCUACGGUAUCUAGGUACUGAAUGUGGAUAACACUGGAGAAGAUGGGCUACCUACGGUAUCUAGGUACUGAAUGUGGAUAACAACUGGAGAAGAUGGGCUACCUACGGUAUCUAGGUACUGAAUGUGGAUAACACUGGAGAAGAUGGGCUACCUACGGUAUCUAGGUACUGAAUGUGGAUAACACUGGAGAAGAUGGGCUACCUACGGUAUCUAGGUACUGAAUGUAGAUAACACUGGAGAAGAUGGGCUACCUACGGUAUCUAGGUACUGAAUGUGGAUAACGCUGGAGAAGAUGGGCUACCUACGGUAUCUAGGUACUGAAUGUAGAUAACACUGGAGAAGAUGGGCUACCUACGGUAUCUAGGUACUGAAUGUGGAUAACAACUGGAAAAGAUGGGCUACCUACGGUAUCUAGGUACUGAAUGUGGAUAACGCUCCACAGCAAAUACAUUUCAGGAUUUUAACUCUCAGGUUAACUCUAAGGGACAAAAUAUGAAUCCUUGUCCUGGACUGAAUAAAGAAUCUCCGCUGAACAUGCUUUUUAGACCAGGAUUCAACUUUAUCUGGGAAACUGGCCCUAUAAAUAUAGUGACGUUUUGGUCGA